rnacentral:lncRNA from 1 species
UUGAUGCCUAUUGAUUCCUUUUGCAGGUUCCAGCUUAAGGUGGGCUCAGUCAUUUUCUCUUCAAGUGUCUAGUGCAAAGUAACACAUCUUUAGUUUUAGCAUUAAUCUAGUUCACUAGAUUAGUCCUAUUAAGUUCUACAAGCUUUUUUAACUUUUUUUGCAGCUUGUACAACCAAAUUAGCUUCUUGAAGCUCUUUGUAUUGCAAGUCUCACCACUUGUAAUCACUUUCAUUACUAGUUAAUG